GGGGGGUUGGGCUGGGUGGGAAGAGAUGGAAAAGUAAGACAAGUCCGGGGAACUGUCUAGGUUGUCGGGAGUGGGCGGUGGCAAAGGGAACGGAAAAAAAAUAUCACCGUCCUUGAUAGGUCUUUUCUAUUGGACGGGUUUCGCGCAAGCACAGGCGGCUACACAGUCGCACCACGCAGAGACAAGAGUCGAGGAGAAAGGGAACGCAUACCUAGAACACCUGAGAACGGGUCACCCAUUUACCGAACACGUCCUCUUCUUACUCACCCAGCAUAGGACAAUGCAGGGAGAUCCGUCUAGGACGUUGCUAUAACUAUAGCGCAUUCAAAAUCAUUAGUAAGAGUGAUGCUAUCGAGUCACAGGGACCCCUUUUCCUGGGCCGUACUUCCCACUGAAAUCCCUCCUACCUUCUCUGAAGCAGAGUCCUUCCCACCAGAGGAACCAGGCCUCAUUUGUUAAAUCAUCUGAAGUCAGAAUGCUCCUUCACAAUUAGCAACAUUGGUACAACAUCAGCAAUAAGGUUUCCAUAUGAUACAGUUGCCUGGUUUUGGUAAUGAGGAUAAUGGGCAUUCAAUAUCUGAAGGGACAAAAUGAUGACAGUAUUCCAAUGGAGUGACUCACAAGAUGCUGCCUUUCCAGAACUAAGAAGAAAUUCACACCCAUUCCCUGGCCUUAAGAUUCAAAUAGGGGGAAGAAAAAAAUGAAUGGCCUGGCAGAGCCAAAUUAAGCCAAGAUAGUGGAAAAAAAGGGAGUUCCUUUUAUAUCUGCUAGAUAUCAUAGAAAAAAAUAAAAUAUGUAUACUAUCCCACUUCACCUGUCAAUAGUAUGUAAAGUUCCCAUGAAAUGUCUAUAAAUUCUGCUUAUGCAAAAUGCUCAUUGAGAAAUCUGGCAUGAUUUCCCCCAUAAAGGUAGAGACCUCAAGCUCAAAUCUUCUUCUUCUUUAACCAGUAUUUUAGUCUGUUUGGACUGCUAUAACAAAAUAGCAUAGCUUAUAAACAGAAAUUUAUUUCUCACAGCUCUCAAGGCUGUAAGGCCAAAAUCAGGAUGCCAGCAUGUUUGGGUUCUAGUGAGGGCCCCCUUGCGGGUUUCAGACUGCCAACUUUUCAUUGGAUCCUCACAUGGCAGAAGGGGCCAUGAGGGAUCUAUUUGGGAACUCAUUUCAUAAUAGCAUGAUUCCCAUGCCUCUGGAUCUAAUCACCUCCCAAAGAUCCACCACUUAACACCAUCAAAUUGGGCAUUAGAUUUUCAAUAUUUGAAUUUGGGGGGAGGGGAACACAAACAACCAGAUCAUAGCAUUCAGAUACUGACUUAAAAACAAAAGCAUAAAUGCUACAGAAACACAUGUGUCCAAAUAUAGCACAUAGAGAAGAAAAUCAAAUUUAAUUUUUUUGGUUUGAAGGAAGGCUCACUUACAGGCCACUGAAAUUUCUUUAGAACUCAGAUAUUUGGAAAAGAGAGAAAUGUGUGUUUUCAUGGAUUCAUAAAACUUUAGCAUUUCAGCAGACCUUCCUAGUCACUUAUUCCAGAAACUUCAUUUUGAAUAUAUGGAAACUGAGGCUCAGAGAGGUAAAUGCAGCCUUACAAUGAUUAUCUAUAAAACUACCACCCCACUUCCAGCUUGGUUCAAAUGUGGUAAUUCAUAAAACAAUAAAAAAUACUCCAUUGACUGUUCCUACCACAUCCAACAAGAAACAGCCCUCCGAAACAGUACUAAUAAAAAUAAAUAUAGAACUUCAACACAUCAUGAACUCAACAUGUUCAUAUUUCUUUUGGAAGAAUCUUAUAGUCAAAUGUAUUGCCACCAAACAGGAUAAAGGCUAAGAUCAUUGCUAAUUCUC